AUGGACAAGGUUAUAGACAAGACCAUAGACAAGGUUAUAGACAAGACCAUGGACAAGGUUAUAGACAAGACCAUGGACAAGGUUAUAGACCACGUUAUAGACAAGGUUAUAGACAAGACCAUAGACAAGGUUAUAGACAAGACCAUAGACAAGGUUAUAGACAAGACCAUGGACAAGGUUAUAGACAAGACCAUGGACAAGGUUAUAGACCACGUUAUAGACAAGGUUAUAGACAAGACCAUAGACAAGGUUAUAGACAAGACCAUAGACAAGGUUAUAGACAAGACCAUGGACAAGGUUAUAGACAAGACCAUAGACAAAGUUAUAGACAAGACCAUAGACAAGGUUAUAGACAAGACCAUGGACAAGGUUAUAGACCACGUUAUAGACAAGGUUAUAGACAAGACCAUAGACAAGGUUAUAGACAACGUUAUAGACAAGACCAUAGACAAGGUUAUAGACAACUUUAUAGACAAGGUUAUAGACAAGACCAUAGACAAGGUUAUAGACAAGGUUAUAGACAUAUUUGUAGACAAGGUUAUAGGCAUAUUUAUAGACAAGGUUAUAGACAGGGUUAUAGACAAGGUUAUAGACAAGGUUAUAGACAGGGUUAUAGACAAGGUUAUAGACAAGGUUAUAGACAAGGUUAUAGACAGGGUUAUAGACAAGACCAUAGAUAAGGUUAUAGACAAGACCAUGGACAAGGUUAUAGACCACAUUAUAGACAAGGUUAUAGACAAGACCAUUGACAAGGUUAUAGACAACGUUAUAGACAAGGUUAUAGACAAGACCAUAGACAAGGUUAUAGACAACGUUAUAGACAAGACCAUAGACAAGACCAUAGACAAGGUUAUAGACAACAUUAUAGACAAGGUUAUAGACAAGACCAUACACAAGGUUAUAGACAAUACCAUAGACAAGGUUAUAGACCACGUUAUAGACAAGGUUAUAGACAAGACCAUAGACAAGGUUAUAGACAACGUUAUAGACAAGACCAUAGACAAGACCAUAGACAAGGUUAUAGACAACAUUAUAGACAAGGUUAUAGACAAGACCAUAGACAAGGUUAUAGACAAUACCAUAGACAAGGUUAUAGACAAGACCAUGGACAAGGUUAUAGACAAGACCAUAGACAAGGUUAUAGACAAGACCAUGGACAAGGUUAUAGACAAGACCAUGGACAAGGUUAUAGACCACGUUAUAGACAAGGUUAUAGACAAGACCAUAGACAAGGUUAUAGACAAGACCAUAGACAAGGUUAUAGACAAGACCAUGGACAAGGUUAUAGACAAGACCAUGGACAAGGUUAUAGACCACGUUAUAGACAAGGUUAUAGACAAGACCAUAGACAAGGUUAUAGACAAGACCAUAGACAAGGUCAUAGACAAGACCAUGGACAAGGUUAUAGACAAGACCAUAGACAAAGUUAUAGACAAGACCAUAGACAAGGUUAUAGACAAGACCAUGGACAAGGUUAUAGACCACGUUAUAGACAAGGUUAUAGACAAGACCAUAGACAAGGUUAUAGACAACGUUAUAGACAAGACCAUAGACAAGGUUAUAGACAACUUUAUAGACAAGGUUAUAGACAAGACCAUAGACAAGGUUAUAGACAAGGUUAUAGACAUAUUUGUAGACAAGGUUAUAGGCAUAUUUAUAGACAAGGUUAUAGACAGGGUUAUAGACAAGGUUAUAGACAAGGUUAUAGACAGGGUUAUAGACAAGGUUAUAGACAAGGUUAUAGACAAGGUUAUAGACAGGGUUAUAGACAAGACCAUAGAUAAGGUUAUAGACAACAUUAUAGACAAGGUUAUAGACAAGACCAUAGACAAGGUUAUAGACAAUACCAUAGACAAGGUUAUAGACCACGUUAUAGACAAGGUUAUAGACAAGACCAUAGACAAGGUUAUAGACAACGUUAUAGACAAGACCAUAGACAAGACCAUAGACAAGGUUAUAGACAAUACCAUAGACAAGGUUAUAGACAAGACCAUGGACAAGGUUAUAGACAACGUUAUAGACAAGACCAUAGACAAGACCAUAGACAAGGUUAUAGACAACAUUAUAGACAAGGUUAUAGACAAGACCAUAGACAAGGUUAUAGACAAUACCAUAGACAAGGUUAUAGACCACGUUAUAGACAAGGUUAUAGACAAGACCAUAGACAAGGUUAUAGACAACGUUAUAGACAAGACCAUAGACAAGACCAUAGACAAGGUUAUAGACAACAUUAUAGACAAGGUUAUAGACAAGACCAUAGACAAGGUUAUAGACAAUACCAUAGACAAGGUUAUAGACAAGACCAUGGACAAGGUUAUAGACAAGACCAUAGACAAGGUUAUAGACAAGACCAUGGACAAGGUUAUAGACAAGACCAUGGACAAGGUUAUAGACCACGUUAUAGACAAGGUUAUAGACAAGACCAUAGACAAGGUUAUAGACAAGACCAUAGACAAGGUUAUAGACAAGACCAUGGACAAGGUUAUAGACAAGACCAUGGACAAGGUUAUAGACCACGUUAUAGACAAGGUUAUAGACAAGACCAUAGACAAGGUUAUAGACAAGACCAUAGACAAGGUUAUAGACAAGACCAUGGACAAGGUUAUAGACAAGACCAUAGACAAAGUUAUAGACAAGACCAUAGACAAGGUUAUAGACAAGACCAUGGACAAGGUUAUAGACCACGUUAUAGACAAGGUUAUAGACAAGACCAUAGACAAGGUUAUAGACAACGUUAUAGACAAGACCAUAGACAAGGUUAUAGACAACUUUAUAGACAAGGUUAUAGACAAGACCAUAGACAAGGUUAUAGAUAAGGUUAUAGACAUAUUUGUAGACAAGGUUAUAGGCAUAUUUAUAGACAAGGUUAUAGACAGGGUUAUAGACAAGGUUAUAGACAAGGUUAUAGACCGGGUUAUAGACAAGGUUAUAGACAAGGUUAUAGACAAGGUUAUAGACAGGGUUAUAGACAAGACCAUAGAUAAGGUUAUAGACAAGACCAUGGACAAGGUUAUAGACCACAUUAUAGACAAGGUUAUAGACAAGACCAUUGACAAGGUUAUAGACAACGUUAUAGACAUGAUUAUAGACAAGACCAUAGACAAGGUUAUAGACAAGGUUAUAGACAUAUUUAUAGACAAGGUUAUAGACAUAUUUAUAGCCAAGGUUUUAGACAGGGUUGUAGACAAGGUUAUAGACAAGGUUAUAGACAGGGUUAUAGACAGGGUUAUAGACAAGGUUAUAGACAAGGUUAUAGACAGGGUUAUAGACACGGUUAUAGACAAGGUUUUAGACACGGUUAUAGACACGGUUAUAGACAAGGUUAUAGACACGGUUAUAGACACGGUUAUAGAAACGGUUAUAGACAAGGUUAUAGACAAGGUUAUAGACAAGGUUAGCAGGGACAAGUUUAUAGACACGGUUAUAGACACGGUUAUAGACAAGGUUAUAGACAAGGUUAUAGACACGGUUAUAGACACAGUUAUAGACAAGGUUAUAGACAGGGUUAUGGACAAGGUUAUAGACACGGUUAUAGAGACGGUUAUAGACAAGGUUAUAGACAAUGUUAUAGACAAGGUUAUAGACAGGGUUAUAGACAGGGUUAUAGACAAGGUUAUAGACAAGGUUGUAGACAAGGUUAUAGACAAGGUUAUAGACAAGGUUAUAGACAGGGUUAUAGACACGGUUAUAGGCUAG
rnacentral:lncRNA from 1 species